GAUGAACGCUGGCGGCGUGCCUAAUACAUGCAAGUCGAGCGAACAGACGAGGAGCUUGCUCCUCUGACGUUAGCGGCGGACGGGUGAGUAACACGUGGAUAACCUACCUAUAAGACUGGGAUAACUUCGGGAAACCGGAGCUAAUACCGGAUAAUAUAUUGAACCGCAUGGUUCAAUAGUGAAAGACGGUUUUGCUGUCACUUAUAGAUGGAUCCGCGCCGCAUUAGCUAGUUGGUAAGGUAACGGCUUACCAAGGCAACGAUGCGUAGCCGACCUGCGAGGGGGAUCGGCCACACUGGAACUGAGACACGGUCCAGACUCCUACGGGAGGCAGCAGUAGGGAAUCUUCCGCAAGGGGCGAAGGCCUGACGGAGCAACGCAGCGUGAGUGAUGAAGGGCUUCGGAUCGUAAAACUCUGUUAUUAGGGAAGAACAAAUGUGUAAGUAACUAUGCACGUCUUGACGGUACCUAAUCAGAAAGCCACGGCUAACUACGU
rnacentral:rRNA from 1 species